rnacentral:lncRNA from 1 species
ACAAAGUAGGACGCCAAAUUAACUCUACCUGCGGAAGAACGCGGAUAGAGAAAGUCUUAAUGGUAACAGAGUCAGGAUGCGUAUCCCAUCCAAAGCAAAGAGUAAACCUCACCUACGGAAACGUAGUGUUAAACGAGGGAUGUACUCAAAAGUGAACCCCACCUACGGAAGAACGUAGGUUAGACGGGGAACACAUCAGCAAGAGUAAACCUCACCUACGGAAACGUAGUGUUAGACGAGGAACACACUCAAAAGUGAACCCCACCUACGGAAGAACGUAGGUUAGACGGGGAACACAUCGCCAAAAAGUGAACCCCACCUACGGAAGAACGUAGGUUAGACGGGGGACACGUCAGCUAAACACACACCCGUUCUACAAAAAUGUAGACAGAUGGGCAAGUGUCCAAGAGUAAACCUCACCUACGAAAGAACGUAGGUUAGACGAGGGACGUACUCAAGAGUAAACCUCACCUACGGAAGAACGUAGGUUAGACGAGGGACGUACUCAAGAACAAUCCUCACCCACGGAUGAACGUAGGUAGACGAGGAGUCACAAUCAGCCCCUAUCGCAGAAAGGCGAGCAAAAGGAGGGGGCAAGUAUUCAAAUAAUAUUCCUCACCCACGGAUGAACGCGGGUAGACGAGGAAGCACAAUCAGCCCCUAUCGCGGAAAGGCGGAAAAAAGGAGGGGGCAAGUAUACAAACAACAAUCCUCACCUACGGAUGAACGUAGGUAGACGAGGAAUCACACUUAGCCUCAGUC